UACAGAGGUCCCAAGCGUUGUUCGGAUUCAUUGGGCGUAAAGGGUGCGUAGGUGGCGCUGUAAGUCGGGUGUGAAAUUUCGGAGCUUAACUCCGAAACUGCAUUCGAUACUGCGGUGCUUGAGGACUGGAGAGGAGACUGGAAUUCAUGGUGUAGCAGUGAAAUGCGUAGAGAUCAUGAGGAAGACCAGUGGCGAAGGCGGGUCUCUGGACAGUUCCUGACACUGAGGCACGAAAGCUAGGGGAGCAAACAGG
rnacentral:rRNA from 1 species